rnacentral:rRNA from 1 species
AGCAGCCGCGGUAAUUCCAGCUCCAAUAGCGUAUAUUAAAGUUGUUGCAGUUAAAAAGCUCGUAGUUGAAUUUCGGGAUUGACGUAAUGGUCAUGCCUUAAGGGGUAUGAACUGUUACAGUUGAUUUCUCACCUUCUGGAGAAACUUGAUGUCCUUUAUUGGGUGUCUUGCGGAUCCAGGACCUUUACCUUGAAAAAAUUAGAGUGUUUAAAGCAGGCAUUUUUGCUCGAAUACAUUAGCAUGGAAUAAUAGAAUAGGACGGCAUGGUUCUAUUUUGUUGGUUUCUAGGAUCACCGUAAUGAUUAAUAGGGAUAGUUGGGGGCAUUAGUAUUCAAUUGUCGGAGGUGAAAUUCUUGGAUUUAUUGAAGACUAACUACUGCGAAAGCAUUUGCCAAGGAUGUUUUCAUUAAUCAAGAACGAAAGUUAGGGGAUCGAAGACGAUCAGAUACCGUCGUAGUCUUAACCAUAAACUAUGCCGACUAGGAAUCAGACGAUGUUAAUUUUUUAAUGUACUCGUUUG